rnacentral:lncRNA from 1 species
UCCCUUUUCCCCCAUCCCUCAUUCUCUGGCAGCCACAAUCUUAUUCUGUCUCUAUGAAUUGACUACUUAAAGUACCUCAUACAGGUAGAAUGAUACAUUUGGAUUUUUUGUGUCUGGCUUAUUCACUUAGCAUCAUGAUAAGAUUCAUCCGCACUGCAACAUGUUUCAUAAUUCCUCUUCCUUUUUAAGGCUGAAUAAUAUUUCAUUGUAUGUAUAGACCACAUUUUGUUUACCAAUUCAUUGGUCAAUGGACAAUUCCACUUUUUGGAUAUUGUGAAUAGUGCUGCUAUGAACAAGAGUGUACAAACAGCUGUUUGGGUCCUUGCUUUCAAUUCUUGUGGGUAUCUACCCAGAAGUGGAGUUGCUGGAUCAUAUGGUAAUUUUAUGUUUAAUUUUUGAGAAAUCAUCAUCCUGUUUUCCAUAGGACUACACCAUUUUACAUUCCCACUAGUAAUACACAAGGAUUCCAGUUUCUCUAUAUCCUUGCCAACACUUGUUAUUCUGUUUUUUUAAUUGUAGCCAUUCUAAUGGAUGUAAAGGGAUAUCACCCAGUGGUUUUGAUUUGCAUUUCCCACAUAAUUAGUGAAGUUGAGCAUUUUUUCCUAUUAUUGGCCACUUGUAUAUCAUCUUUGAAGACAUGUCUAUUCACAUCCUUUUCCCACUUAUUAAAAUAGGUUGUUUUCUAUUUCAUUUUUCACUCUUAAAUAGCAAUUUUACCCAUAUACAGGUGGUCAUUUAUUCUGGCAAUCUUCCACUGUGUCCCCAGGCAGCGAUCUGAAACAUUUUUAACUUCUCACUUUAUUCAGGUCAUAAAAAUCUUGCUGAACCUGGUAACACUUAAAUUACUGCCCAAAAUGUUCAAUGUAAACUAUCAGAACUGUACUGAAAAGCUUUUCCACAACUCUCCAACACAGCCUAACAAUGUCGAUUGCAAAAAAGAAGUCCAAUUUAUUCUCAAAUCCAAGCACACUCUCAUGUCCUCUAUUCCCAUUAAGCUUGCUUCAUCUGCUUCUUUGUUUCAAUUCAAAAUGGCUUCUUGAACCAGUUAUAGGUACUAUGCCCUUAAAAUUAAUUCCCAAUGUCACUCCACCUCUAGGCUGACAUCAUUUUUCUGAACUUCACCAGCAUUUGCUAUCCAUGCUUCCCAUGUUGAUACACUUACUUUUUGAGUAGCCUUCCAUGAAAUAGACAUGAUUGAUGCACAAAGGCUAAUACUUUUAACAUUUAAUGCCAUUGUCCUCUCCAUCCAAAUACAAUCUCCGUUCUUUUGAAUUUAUCUCAGCAAAUAUUUAAAGCAUCCUUUUAAAAUACUGUGAAAUAUUCUUUUCUGCCCAUUUUCAGAAAAUCAGUAAUUUCUGUAUCCUAAAUACAAAAAUCCUAAUCCUAUAUCUUAAAUACAAUGGUUUCCUCAUGCUAAACAUUGAUAUAAUGAAGAUUAAGAAAGUACAAAGUAAUCAGCAGAGUGUAUGCAAAGUGAAUCAUUCUAUGGAGUAGACAUUAAACAACAUACAAAAACAAUGGAGCAGAGCAUGAGUGAUGAAAACUAUUCAGGUAUAUUUUUAAAUUGGAAAUAUGUGGCCAUGAGGACAAUAUCACUGAAAAGAAUUUGUUAAUCCUACACAGUAGGAAAUAGAACUGCCUGUUUUUAUCAUAUCUACUGAGGAAAAAAGAAACAAAAUAGCCAUGUUUGGGGUCAUAAAAUCUGUCAGUAUCUUGACUAAACUCAAAAACCUGAAAUCAACAUAUCUCACUGGGAACAAAAUUGUCUAAAUAUGAGAAAAUGGGGAUCUAGUUUGUUGUAAUACCACUGGGAUUAAGAAAAAGGGUCACUUUUUUCUUAAUUAAAACAAGAAAAACUGGUAAGAAUUCCAAAGUAAUAAAUUAAAUUAGAGGACUGUGUUUCUGAGCCCAGAAACAGAAAAAUCUCACAAAAUUUAUCAGGUGAGAAUUCCUUAUUUGGAUGAUGAUGAUUCCAAUUUCUGAUCUCCCAAAAUUAAGGAAGUGAGUCAUCUCAUGGGAACUGUCCUCCGUGGAGCUAAGUAAGGUAGCAGAACACAGUUUAAGCACAGGGACUAGAGGUACUGAUAUAUAAAUCAUUAGAAUAAAAAUAUGAGGACUAAGAGUUCAGAAUGGAUGGGUCCUUUAAGUCAAUUCCUGUGGGAAAAGAUGCCCAUAGCCGGGCACGGUGGCUCACGCCUGUAAUCUCAGCACUUUGGGAGGCCAAGCCAGGCGGAACACCUGAGGUCGGGAGUUCGAGACCAGCCUGACCAACAAGGAGAAACCCCGUCUCUACUAGAAAUACAAAAUUAGCCGGGCAUGGUGGUGCAUGCCUGUAAUCACAGCUACUUGGGAGGCUGAGGCAGGAGAAUCACUCAAACCUGGGAGGCGGAGGUUGCGGUGAGCCAAGAUCGUGCCAUUGCACUCCAGCCUGGGCAACAAGAGUGAAACUCUGCCUCAAAAAAAAGAAAAGAUGCCCAUAUGGAAGAACAGGGCCCCAAGCUAGAGGUGCCACAACUGGGAGGAAAAGAAGACAGCAGAUCCAGCAAAGAAAAGAAAAUAAAUAAAAUUAGGGGCAAAAAAACUGGAAAAAAAAGGCAGAAAACUCCAUGGACGUAAAGAGAUAAGCGGUAAGAAAAUGCAACAAACAAAUGAAAAAGCCAAUCAGAUAACAGAUAAGAUGAGAGGCUCUCACCAUUCAGUUAUUAGAAAAAUAACACUUAAGCAAUGAAACAGGCUGGGUGCGGUGGCUCACGCCUAUAAUUCCAGCACUUUGGGAGGCCGAGGUGGGCAGAUCACAAGGUCAGGAGAUCGAGACCAUCCUGGCUAACAGGGUGAAACCCUGUCUCUACUAAAAAUACAAAAAAUUAGCCGAGUGUGGUGGCGGGUGCCUGUAGUCCCAGCUACUCGGGAGGCUGAGGCAGGAGAAUCACUUGAACCCAGGAGGCAGAGGUUGCAGUAAGCCAAGAUCGUGCCACUGCACCCUAGCCUAGGUGACAGAGUGAGACUCUGUCUCAAAAAAACCAAAACCAAAAACAAAAAAAAAUGAAACAGCCCUUUCACCUAUCAGUAGGGCUAUAAAUUCACCAAUUUUGUUAAUGCCAAGUGUUAGCAAGCAAGAUGUGCAAAUGCAAAUCCUUGUGCACUGCACAUGGGGAGUGUGAACUGGUGCAGCCCAUCAGAAG